UUUUUAAAUUGAGAGUUUGAUCCUGGCUCAGGAUGAACGCUGGUGGCGUGCCUAAUACAUGCAAGUCGUACGCUAGCCGCUGAAUUGAUCCUUCGGGUGAAGUGAGGCAAUGACUAGAGUGGCGAACUGGUGAGUAACACGUAAG
rnacentral:rRNA from 1 species